rnacentral:rRNA from 1 species
CGUAGGGGGCAAGCGUUGUCCGGAAUCAUUGGGCGUAAAGAGCGUGUAGGCGGCCAGCUAAGUCCGCUGUGAAAUCUCGAGGCUCAACUUCGAGCUGUCGGGGGAAACUGUCUGGCUAGAGUCCGGAAGAGGAGAAUGGAAUUCCUGGUGUAGCGGUGAAAUGCGCAGAUAUCAGGAAGAACACCCGUGGCGAAGGCGGUUCUCUGGGACGGUACUGAUGCUGAGACGCGAAAGCGUGGGGAGCGAACAGG